GUGCUCAUUUUGGCAGCAUGCACACUGAAAGUGGAAUGAUACGGAGAAGAUUAGCAUGGCCCCGGUGCAAGGAUGACACACAAAUUUCUGAAGUGGUCCGUAUUUUU